GUCAGUCCGUCAGUCACCCCGUCAGUCAGUCCGUCCGUCGGUCGGUGUGGCAGUGUGAGGUGCGCGUUGUGGCUGUUCUGGGGGUGUUUUUCCUCUCCCCAGUUCCCUCAUGCCGCUAUACAGCACAACGCCUGAAGUGACGCGUGGAUCCCGUGAGCCGUUCUGCUCUGACGUUAGUCCUGUAUUCCUUUAUUGACAUAGAGGCCUGGUUUUUGUUCAGCUCCGUGUGGACUUCGGCUCCGUUUACGCACUGUCCGUUCUCAGCUUUGUUUUGAUGGCGCUUUGGGUUUCCUAGCGCAGGAAUACAGCCCCACAGCCGCUGUGUGGGGUCACUUCAGCUGUAAGAUGGGCACUGCAGUGUGUUCAUUGCGGGCCAGGCAGUGUUUGGAGUUUUCUAGUUAAUACCGCCUUAUAAAAGAAAACAACCCGGAAAACAAGCAGCUCCAUAAAAGGAGAGUAAAGACAUCUGAAAGCUCUCAACUGCCCGUGCUCCAAACUGCCUUGGAAGCAAGCCAGUUCCAGCAUAGAAGUCCUUUACCUUAGCUCUGUGCCUCUACUAAUGGCCCCCGUGACAUUCCUCUGCUACUUUCUGAAGGACUCUUCACAUCACACACUCCGUUUCUUGAGCAUCGAACUGAGAUGUUUUCUGGUCUACUGCGUGGAGCUCUGCUGGCAGUAUUUCUGGAAACCACACAUCUUUGCUAUUGAACUCUUUCUUUAUUAAGGUCAGCAGGACAGAGGAUUUUUAAAAGGCUGGCAGAGGAGAACAAGAUCCUGUUGUUGCUGAUAGCAGGUAGCUUUUGUGCUUCGUUCGUGCAACCUUUGGUACAUGGUGAACACAUGACAGAAAUUAGAAAUCUAGGAGGCAUAUGGGCUGGAGUUAUCUCUGAUUUGGAAAUUCAGAAAGCUUCCGGAUUUGGUAUUUGCCAACAAUUUGUGAGGUUUACGGCCUAGGUGAUCUUCAGACAUGACUUGAAGAGGACACUAUCAGCACAGACACUACCUGUGCCAAACUGUAUACAUGGGGGUUAGAGCUUAUUUCUACCCCCUGGUAUUGUUGUGAGUCCUGUAGCUCCAAGGCUUCAGCAGCAGCAUGCCUUCAGUGAAUUCUGAACCAUGUAUGGGAAUACACAGCUCAGCAAUAGCCACAGCCUCAAUUACUUACGCUAAGGCUCAGGCCAUAAGGAGCUUUGACUGUAAAGAUCUUAUUCAGUUUGAUGGAUCUGGAGAGCGUGACAUUGACAGGAGAUUCAGAUAGUUUAUGACGUGAUUGUAAAAUAAAUCUUGUCAUUUCCCAGGGCCAAAUGCAAAGGGCCAUGGCUCUGCAAACAUUUCUCCUCUGGACAAAUCUGACCUGGAGACCUCAUGGCCAUUUUUUCCAACCGCUUCUCAUAUCCACCAUUGUGUCAGCACAGAUCUUAACAUUUAGUUAAGUGAGUUGGGGGGCAUGGAAGGAAUCCAACUUAAAACCUAUCCAUUUAAGUUGAUGAAAAUAUGGAAAACAGAGCACUGAUUUGUGGGGGUGGAGGAUGCUGAGGUUGAAGAGUGUAGCCCAAGACUGGGGAGCAGAAAUAGCUGGAACUUGCUUUGCAGGGAAGAAAAAAUGUCUGUGUGAGCGUGGCCUAACAUUUUAAGUAAGAAGUGUUUGUUGGCCCAGAUGAUAUUCACUGAAAGAGGUUAGGGAGUGCUCGAACAAGUAUAUCCAGAUCAGAGGGGUGGUAACCUAUUGCAAAGCAAUGCUCACAAGCCCCUGGGCAGACCGAGGGAGGACUCUUCUGUCAACACAGCUGGGUUUGGGAGAUGUGUGUCCACAGACACAGCUCCCCGCACUGUCACAGCGUGCACCAAUCUUGCCUUACACCUCACUCCAAAAUGUAAGGUAAUGUGUCUUCCAACACUACUGUAGUGUGCAGUCUGCCCUCCCACGUGCCUGAAGGGAUGAACCUUGAAUGUACCUUACCUUUCUUUUGAGGGUAGGUGACAGACGUGUUUGGAAACCAGCAGAAGCCAUAGGCACGUCUGAAUACAGGGUGUGUGUUCUGUCAUUUUACUUGGAUGAAUUACAGUAUUUAACUUGGAACAGCCCACUUGUGUCUUUUGCUGGACUUCCAGGCUCUGAGCUGUGUGAAUUACUGACAUGGGAAUUCAAGAUGCCAUUUCUCAAAAAUCAUAUAGGAUUUUGUAUGUGCGUACCUGUAUCCGAGAUGGGGAAACUGCUGAACUGCAGCCUGGAUUUUCCAUUGUCAGUACACUGAGUAAUUCACUUCUGCCGCCACUAGAGGUAUGACAUUCACUUGAGCAAAUACCAAAGGAAACAUGUAGCUGGAAGCCUUGCCCAUAUUAAUAUUUCAUUUUUCAAAUAAUGCUUUUGAUCUGUUUUUUGUGUUUGUUUGGUUUUUUUUUUUGGAGGCCUUAUCCUACUUUUGCCUCUUCCUGUUGGGAACUCUUUCUUUUACUGAACUGAAGGUAACUACUUGUGAGAUGAAAUGCCACUUUGUGAUUGAAGGGUGCAGAACUGAGUGCUCAUUUAAGCUGCAUAGAAAGCUAAAUUAUAGUGUCACUCACCAUACUGGUCACCUGUGACUGGCUCACAUGCACAUUGGUAAAUCCUCUUUCACAUUGCUUGUUGUUCUCCUGGCUAUCUAUGUUUAUUCUGAAACUCAAACAUAAAAGAAUAUGAUUUGAAAUUAAUGUCUUUUUUAUCUAUUAUGACCAGCUUUCACUUAGAUAGAAUCUCCCUUUUGAAACUCAUUGAAACAUCACAAAAGUCCCAUGUCUCUGCCAGGGCUGGCAGGAGAAUUGCGGCCUACCCUGAGGUUCAAUCACAGCUCUGCAGUAUGUGUACUGCUUGAGUGCAAGGCAGGGGAUGGUUCUGAACCGAGCUGCUGGGAUUUCUGUGGGAAAGCAGAGGUUGGCUAAAUGAGGACUAACUGCAGCCCUGCAGGAGCACAGCCUCUCUGACUGUUUGAAGCUGGUAGCUUUUCUUUCAGAGCUUCUGACACACUCAGCAGCAACCUGCCAGCACCGUGCUGCACGCUCACAGGCUGGGAGCAGCGAGUUGCUGGGAGAGCUGCCCACUGUGCCCCUGCACUACGCAGGCCCCAGCAGCUCUCCUGCUGCAACCUGGCAUUUCCACAUGCUGCUUUGCACCUCCUCCUCACUUUUGCCUGAUGAGCACACUGACGGCAGCUAAGAAAGAUGAGAGUGUGGUGAAAGCUGGGUGCCUUGAGCUCUAGCCUGAAUUGCAACUCUCUUCUAUCACAGCAAGCAGUCUUCCUGCCAUGUUCUCCUUUCAGGACUUGCCCACCUGACUCCUGGCUCAGCAAUGAGAAAUGGAAAUACAGGAAAUCCCACAGUGAAUGCUGGAGGGAGAGAGCUCUCUUCUGUGAAUUGAGCAGGUUAUUUGCUAAGGGAACAGUUACAUAAAAAGGAUGAACGAGCAACAACAAAAGAGGAAGGCUGGAGUCGUAUAAUGUGAAAACUGGAACCACCUGCAUUUAUGAUUUCCUGUUCAGAUAUAUAAGGUGACAGUGCUUGCCAUGUGGUUCAGGUAAGCUCCAGUUAUAUCUAUUGAAGGGUAAUUAUGAUUUUAGUUGAAUAAUUUAUAUAUCUUGUGUAAUUCUGGCUCUUUUUAAAGGCAUCUUGUUAGAACUUUGUUUCUCUGUGUGCUUGUUUGCCUUCAGUUCUACAUUUUUCAUCACUGCUUUUUCCAAGUAUCUUUUUCCCUCUUUUACUUUAAUACUCAUAUUUUCCUGCAGUUUUAAUUUCUCUUCUGCCUGUGUUACUUAAUACAAGUGGGAACUGAGGAGGAGGGAAAAGGGGCUGUGUGGUCCUGGUAGAAAUCUCCAAAUCACAAGGACUGAGAUAUUAAACCUUGAAGGGCACAGUCCAGUAUUAGUGACUCUCAUCCCAGGAGAACCAAGUUGCAGCAGUGCUGGGUAAUUUAGGACACCUUUGUCUUAUUGCAAGUACCACUUAUGUUGUAUUUUUUGUUCAGUGAGAUCCAAAGCUGAGAAUACAAAUGCUCUGGAAACCUUGAAUUAUCAGUGGCUUAUCACAAACUUCUGCUGUGCUGGGCCAUCGUUAGGUUUUUGUGAUCUUCCUUCUUGAAUCUUCAGUCCUGUUUCCUUUAUACAUACGUAAAGUCUGUACCUCACAUUGAUCACCCACCAUAUCCUGUCCUCUCUCCCACUCUGCUGCUUUCUGCUCCAUUUCUUUUUUGCCUUGCUGCAGAGUAGUAAAAAGAGGGAGCAGAAGGUGUAUAUGUUAUAAGGAAAGGAGAAGGGGUGUUGAAAGGAGCAAGAAGAAAGGAUGGGGAUGCUUGGGAGUAAGGGAUGAGCUGCCUGUCAUUGGCACGAGGCUACUACAGAACAUACAUUGUGCAAAGCUGGAGAAGCACUGGGGUGAUGAAUGAGCAUGACGUGAUAUGGGAAACGGCUGGCACAAAUUCCCAGGUCAGUUGGAUUUUCCUUGCAAACACAAUGGAUUGAGUUGAAUAGGGAGUGAUUAACGUUUGAAAACGUUUCUGACUGUUCUGAAAUUGUUUGGAAGAGAACUGGAGUUAUUACGGCAUCUUAAAAAACGGUGGGCAAAAUCACGAUCGUCUCUUAGAACUGAUGCAUAUGAAAUCUUUUAUUGAAGUUACUUUUGAAAAAUGAAACUUAAUGGCUUCAAGGUGGAGUUUGUUGUUUUCUUUUGCUUUGGGAGAUUGGUGCAGUAAAGGUCCUGGGAAAACCCAGAAGUUUCAUCUUACCUCCUGUAUUUAUUUGCUGUUGAUCACACUGCCCACGAACUUGUGUAAUGUCUUAUAAAAUCCAUUUUCAGUCUCCACAAUCCUUCAAAGCAAUGACUGCCACUGUGUAAUGACGGACUGUAUGAAGGAGUACCUUCUUUGGGGUGUGUUUGUUUUAAGCCAGCCGCAUUAAUGAUUUUGUUGGAUGCUCCCUCAGCUUUUAUACUAGAAGAGAAAGCAAACAAUUACUCUGCAUCUGCCUUCUCCAUGCAGGAUUUUAUAGACUGCUAUCACUUUUCCCCGCAGUCAUCUUAUUUUCUGAAGAGCUCUUGCCUAUUUAAUUUCUUCUUGUAGUGAAGCUGUUCUGUACCUCAAAAGUGGACUUUAUAUUACUGCUCUCUUUCUUCUUUCUCUCAGGUGAAAGUGCUGAGGAAACCUUAUACAGGAAUGCUACAGUUAAAAAGAUUAUUUGGUGACUCUUUUAUGCCAAAAUAAUUAGCCUUCAGCUCCUAGAAGUUGCCAAAAGUUUCUGACAGGAAGAGAAAACUGUUCUUGUAAAUCUCUCCAGUUUGAGGUUGCAUUCAUAUGCUAAAGUAGAUAAGAGCACACGGCAAGUAAACAGGAGAAAUGUCUGGAUCUGAAGUCCUCCUUUGCUGCCAACAAACCUUCAAGCUUAAUACACAGAAUUUGAGUGAGUGCAAGGAAGUGACAAAAUUGGGACCUGAGAGAUCAGGAAGUUCAGUAAUUCAGGCUGUACUGAGCAACGUCAGCAGAGCUAAACAGGAACACAGAGAGCAGAGUGUGUGGGUUGUUGGGUGGUGGGGUUUUUUUUGGGGGGGAGGUAGGGGGUUGUGGUUUUUUUUCCCUCCUCAUUUAGUCCAGUGUAAGUGCUGCAUCUCUGGCAUGGGUAAGACAUUUCCUUCUAACACCAGCAGUGCUUCUUGGGCCUUUCUCUCCUGUCCCUCCUUGUUGUUUGGUUACCACCCACUCAUUAGAUCAUGUCUGAAAUUAGCUAGAGAGAACUACAGGGCAGGGUUGAUUUCUUGUCUUUUUACUGAGGGCUUGGCACAGUUUUGAGUGGCUUUCAGACUGGGGGCAGGGUGAGGAGAGACAGCAACAAAAUAAGUCAUUGUGCAGCUUGGGGAAACCCAGGCAGGAAGGCCAGGUAGCUACGGAAGAUGCUGGUUGAGGGUCUGUAUCAGGAACAGCGAGAGCUUACGUAGCACUAAAGCUUGUGCUUCAUGUGGAUAAUCCUCUCUGCUUCUUUAACCAUCUCCAGUGAAAAAUAGUCUUUAGGAUAAAAGUCUGAACUCUUCUAGGGG